CCUACGGGUGGCUGCAGUGGGGAGUAUUGGACAAUGGGGGCAACCCUGAUCCAGCCAUGCCGCGUGUGUGAAGAAGGCCCUCGGGUUGUAAAGCACUUUCAGUGAGGAAGAACGCCUGGUGGUUAAUACCCAUCAGGAAAGACAUCACUCACAGAAGAAGCACCGGCUAACUCCGUGCCAGCAGCCGCGGUAAUACGGAGGGUGCGAGCGUUAAUCGGAAUUACUGGGCGUAAAGCGCGCGUAGGUGGCUUGAUAAGCCGGUUGUGAAAGCCCCGGGCUCAACCUGGGAACGGCAUCCGGAACUGUCAAGCUAGAGUGCAGGAGAGGAAGGUAGAAUUCCCGGUGUAGCGGUGAAAUGCGUAGAGAUCGGGAGGAAUACCAGUGGCGAAGGCGGCCUUCUGGACUGACACUGACACUGAGGUGCGAAAGCGUGGGUAGCAAACAGGAUUAGAUACCCUAGUAGUC
rnacentral:rRNA from 1 species